AGCCCCGUGGUGUAGUGGCCAAGCAUGGCGGGCUUUGGACCCGUCGACGCCGGAGAGUUUAUCGGCGAUUUCGAAUCCGGCCGGGGCUA
rnacentral:tRNA from 2 species